rnacentral:rRNA from 1 species
UACGGGAGAUGCAAGCGUUAUCCGGAAUUAUUGGGCGUAAAGAGUUCGUAGGUGGUUGAGUAUGUUUAAUGUUAAAUCUCCAAGCUUAACUUUGAAAUUGCGUUAAAAACUGCUCAACUUGAGUAUGGUAGGGGCAAAGGGAAUUUCCAGUGUAGCGGUGAAAUGCGUAGAUAUUGGAAAGAACACCGAAAGCGAAGGCACUUUGCUAGGCCAAUACUCACAUUGAGAAACGAAAGCUAAGGGAGCAAACAGG